AAUCCUUGUAGGACCACCAGUGGCGAAAGCGUCAGACUGGAACGCGCCUGACGGUGAGGGACGAAAGCCAGGGGAGCGAACCGGAUUAGAUACCCGGGUAGUCCUGGCCGUAAACGAUGCAUACUAGGCAAUGGUGCGGCCAUGAGCCGCAUCAGUACCGUAGGGAAACCGUUAAGUGUGCCGCCUGGGAAGUACGGUCGCAAGGCUAAAACUUAAAGGAAUUGGCGGGGGAGCACCACAAGGGGUGAAGCCUGCGGUUCAAUUGGACUCAACGCCGGGAAACUUACCAGGGGAGACAGCAGAAUGACAGUCAGGUUGACGACCUUACUCGACGAGCUGAGAGGAGGUGCAUGGCCGUCGCCAGUUCGUGCUGUGAGGUAUCCUGUUAAGUCAGGCAACGAACGAGAUCCGCGCCUUUAUUUGCCAUCAAGAAGUCACGACUUUGUUGGGAACAAUAAAGGGACCGCCGUCGAUAAGACGGAGGAAGGGGCGGGCAAAGGCAGGUCAGUAUGCCCCGAAACACACUGGGCUACACGCGGGCUGCAAUGGUGCGAACAAUGGGCUGUAACUCCGAAAGGAGAAACCAAUCCCGAAAUCGCAUCUCAGUGGGGAUUGUCGACUGUAACUCGUUGACAUGAACGUGGAUCCCUAUAAUCGCGUGUCACCAUCGC
rnacentral:rRNA from 1 species